rnacentral:rRNA from 1 species
UCCUACGGGAGGCAGCAGUGGGGAAUUUUGGACAAUGGGGGCAACCCUGAUCCAGCAAUGCCGCGUGUGUGAAGAAGGCCUUCGGGUUGUAAAGCACUUUUGUCCGGAAAGAAUACCGCUUCUCUAAUACAGAGGCGGGAUGACGGUACCGGAAGAAUAAGCACCGGCUAACUACGUGCCAGCAGCCGCGGUAAUACGUAGGGUGCAAGCGUUAAUCGGAAUUACUGGGCGUAAAGCGUGCGCAGGCGGUUCGCUAAGACCGAUGUGAAAUCCCCGGGCUUAACCUGGGAACUGCAUUGGUGACUGGCGGGCUAGAGUAUGGCAGAGGGGGGUAGAAUUCCACGUGUAGCAGUGAAAUGCGUAGAGAUGUGGAGGAAUACCGAUGGCGAAGGCAGCCCCCUGGGCCAAUACUGACGCUCAUGCACGAAAGCGUGGGGAGCAAACAGGAUUAGAUACCCUGGUAGUCCACGCCCUAAACGAUGUCAACUAGUUGUCGGGUCUUCAUUGACUUGGUAACGAAGCUAACGCGUGAAGUUGACCGCCUGGGGAGUACGGUCGCAAGAUUAAAACUCAAAGGAAUUGACGGGGACCCGCACAAGCGGUGGAUGAUGUGGAUUAAUUCGAUGCAACGCGCAAAACCUUACA